rnacentral:rRNA from 1 species
CCUACGGUGUGCAGCAGUGAGGAAUAUUGGUCAAUGGACGGGAGCCUGAACCAGCCAAGUCGCGUGAGGGAUGACGGCCCUAUGGAUUGUAAACCUCUUUUGUCUGGGAACAAAGUGCCCCACGUGUGGGCUUUUGAGUGUACCCUAAGAAAAAGCAUCGGCUAACUCCGUGCCAGCAGCCGCUGUAAUCCGGAGGAUGCGAGCGUUAUCCGGAUUUAUUGGGUUUAAAGGGUGCGUCGGGGGACUGUUAAGGCAGCGGGAAAAUUGUGGUGCUCAACGGCUUAGAGCCGUUGAAACUGGGAGUCUUGAGUGGGCGAGAAGUAGGCGGAAUGCGUGGUGUAGCGGUGAAAUGCAUAGAUAUCACGCAGAACUCCGAUUGCGAAGGCAGCGCACCGGAGCCCAACUGACGCUGAGGCACGAAGGCGUGGGUAUCGAACAGGAUUAGAUACCCCGGUAGUC